rnacentral:rRNA from 1 species
AUUGAACGCUGGCGGCAUGCCUUACACAUGCAAGUCGAACGGUAACAGGUCUUCGGAUGCUGACGAGUGGCGAACGGGUGAGUAAUACAUCGGAACGUGCCUAGUAGUGGGGGAUAACUACUCGAAAGAGUGGCUAAUACCGCAUGAGAUCUACGGAUGAAAGCAGGGGAUCGCAAGACCUUGUGCUACUAGAGCGGCCGAUGGCAGAUUAGGGAGUUGGUGGGAUAAAAGCUUACCAAGCCGACGAUCUGUAGCUGUCCUGAGAGGACGAUCAGCCACACUGGGACUGAGACACGGCCCCGACUCCUACGGGAGGAAGCAGUGGGGAAUGUUGGACGAUGGGCGCAAGCCUUAUCCAGCAAUGACGCGUGCAGGAUGAAGGCCUUCGGGUUGUAAACUGCUUUUGUACGGAACGAAAAGCCCCGGGUUAAUACCCUGGGGUCAUGACGGUACCGUAAGAAUAAGCACCGGCUAACUACGUGCCAGCAGCCGCCGCCG